rnacentral:rRNA from 1 species
CGGCGCACAUAAGACAUGCAAGUCGAACGGAAGUCGUACUAAUUGAAGUGGAUUGAAGAUUAUUGGAUUGAAGCAGAUUUAAUACAAUGGCUUUAGUGGCGGACUGGUGAGUAACACGUAAGCAACCUGCCUAUUAGAGGGGAAUAACAAUGAGAAAUCAUUGCUAAUACCGCAUAAGCUUGUAGGAUCGCAUGGUCUAGCAAGAAAAGGAGUAAUCCGCUAAUAGAUGGGCUUGCGGCUGAUUAGCUAGUUGGUUAGGUAACGGCUGACCAAGGCAACGAUCAGUAGCCGGGCUGAGAGGCUCUGCGGCCACAUUGGGACUGAGAUACGGCCCAGACUCCUACGGGAGGCAGCAGUCGGGAAUAUUGCGCAAUGGAGGAAACUCUGAACCGCAGUGACGCCGCGUAUAGGAAGAAGGUUUUAGGAUUGUAAACUAUUUUAGACAGGGAAGAACAAUGACAGUACCUGUAGAAUAAGCUCCGGCUAACUACGUGCCAGCAGCAGC